rnacentral:lncRNA from 1 species
CUUUCGCGUCUGCGGUGCCCGGAGUGUGGUACUUCUCCUAGUUGCAGUCAGGCUUCAUACGCUAUUGUCCUGCCCGUUAGAGCAGCCAGCGGGUACAGAAUGGAUUUUGGAAGAGGGAGUCACCACUGGACCUCCAAGGAAGCCACGUGCAGACAUCUACAACCUUCGAUCUCCUGACGAGUUUAUUGUUGGCCAAAACCAGGCUUUGAUUGAACCAGGAUGAAUGCGGGUGUUGGAAGUAGAAUAUAUAUAUACAUAUAAAAUUGGUUGGGAGCCACGUGUACCAGUGUGUGUUGAUCUUGGCUUGAUUCAGUCUGCCUUGUAACAGAAACUGGCGAUGGAAUAUGAGAGGAGCCCUCUGGAAAGAAAAGGACAGACCCUGUGCUUUCAUGAAAGUGAAGAUCUGGCUGAACCAGUUCCACAAGGUUACUGUAUACAUAGCCUGAGUUUAAAAGGCUGUGCCCACUUCAAGAAUGUCAUUGUUAGACUUUGAAAUUUCUAACUGCCUACCUGCAUAAAGAAAAUAAAAUCUUUUAAAUCAAAA